UUUUUACGGAGAGUUUGAUCCUGGCUCAGGAUGAACGCUGGCGGCGUGCUUAACACAUGCAAGUCGAACGAUGAACCCGAAGCUUGCUUUGGGGGAUUAGUGGCGAACGGGUGAGUAACACGUGAGC
rnacentral:rRNA from 1 species